GGCGCUGUGGUCUAGAGGCAUGAUUCCGUGUUCGGGUCGCGGAGGUCCCGGGUUCGAUUCCCGGCAGCGCCC
rfam:Salpingoeca sp. ATCC 50818 unplaced genomic scaffold supercont1.13, whole genome shotgun sequence.